rnacentral:lncRNA from 1 species
AAGAAAAGGAAAUAGGAAGACUACCAUUCUAAAUCUACCAUUGUAGCAUCUGUAAGAGACAUUAAAUUAGAUUCAAUGUAACCACUGUGUGGCUUGCAGAUAUUUUCCUUCAUCUCCUUCUUUCUUGAUAGCUCAGACCUUGCAUCCACCCAAGCCCUUUCCCCCCUAGCUUUCACGUUUCCUAGUACCCUACCCAAAACGUCUUCUCUUUUCCUCUCUU